GGGAAGGAGAGAGCCCAGCUCCUGCAGGAUAUUCAGGAAAGUCAUCCGCACAGGAGCCUGACCACACCACACACUGGCUGGUUCACAGGACUUAUUAUCCUAUCCUAGACGUCCCGGUCCUUUUAGCCCUAGCGCAGGGACCAAAAGUUUCCUUUGCCCUUCUGAAAAUAUUAGGUAAUGUUAGUGCAGGGGAUAAUACACUCUUUCUGCAUGUCUGGCCUGCAGUGCAGGGCAGCAAUAUUUGCUCUUGGGAACGAUUGCACUAAUUUUAGGUCAUUAACGCUAAGUACUACAUGACUACACACUUCUCUAACCAGAGAGAAGGCAAAACAGAGGAUGAUACAUCUUUCUGGAGCAUAAAGUUUAGUAAGACUGAACUAAGAGAAAACCAAGGAGUUGGCAAUAACUAUCCCCUCCCCCACCAAAAUGAAAGACAGAAGUGUGGGGGGUGGGGGACAUGCCCCAGGGCACAGUCCAGUCUCUGAAGUUUCACCCAGCAGGGGAGGAGGGGCAGCCAGGCCAGGGUGGUGCCUCUUCUGGUCGCCCAGACCACUCCAGAGCAUCAUCUGAGCUGGCCAGGGUUUUCUAUAGGAGGCUUUUCUGAAGGCGGUGGAGGUGCUGGAUUUGAAUCCCAUCAUCCAGGUGGGAACUCGACCAGGUCCCAUGGAGCUUGUCAGGUCAUCCACUGUCUGUUUCUGGCGCCACUUUAUUACUAGCUCUCUUGCUGGGCAGCCCACAGCAAAGAUAUUUAAAUAUACGUCUCCAGAUACUCCCAGCCAACCCCUUCUUUUUCUAGGUGAGGCCAGAGGGAGUGACUGGGGACAUAUCCUCGGGGUGCCCAACAAGGGUGGUGCUUCCUGCAUCAGGCACCUCUGGGAGGCAGUGAGUUCCUUCAGGGACUUUCCGCUGAUGUCAUGGGUGCCAUUGGUGUUGCAGGUGUCACAGGGGAUGUGGUUGUCCUGUGUGCCAUGGGUUCUGUGAGUGUUGUGGGCGAUGCGGGUCCGCGGGUGACACUGGUGUCAUGGGUGCCACUGGUGUCACGGGUGAGGCAGCGGUCACUGGUGACACUGGUGUCACAGGUAUCGCAGGUGCCACGGGUGUCAUGUAUGUUGCAGUCCCCAGUGGUGUCCUGGUGCUCAGGGCAUCAUAGGUGACGCCGAUGUCACAGGUGUGGCUGUUGUCAGGUCCCUCUUGUGUCAUGGGUGCCACAGGCAUCAUGGGUGAGGCUGGUGCUGCUGGUAUCAUAGCUGUCAUGGGUUCAUUGGCGUCACGGGCUUCACUGAAGUCAUGGAUGAUGCUGGUGUCACAGGUGAGGCAGGUGUCAUGGGUGACACUGGUGUCACGGGUACUGUGGGUGCCACGGGUGACAUCUGUGUUGCAGGCACCUGUGGUGUCCUAGGUGACUAGGGCGUCGCAGGUGAGGUUGGUGUCACAGGUGUGGCUGGUGAACACGGAAGCCCCUGAUGUCACGGGUGCCGCUGGUGUCAUGAGUUCCUGUGGUGUCCUGUGUGCUGCAGGUGUCACAGGCGAGGCUGAUACCACUGGUUUCACAGCUGUCGCAGGUGCUGCUGGUGUCACGGGUGCCUCUGGUGUCACGGGUGCCUGUGGUGUCACGGGUGAGGCAGGUGUUACUGGUGAUGCAGGUUAUCGUGAGUGUCAUGGGUGUCAUCUAUGUUGCAGGCCCCAGUGGUGUCCUGGGUGCCUAGGGCAUCAUAGGUGAGGCUGGUAUCCCAGGUGUGGCUGGUGUCACGGGUGCUGCAGGCAUCACAGGUGAGGCUGGUACCUCUGGUAUCGCAGGUAUCGGGCUGAUGGUGUUGCAGGCGUCUCUGGCAUCACAGGUAACGCUGGUAUCACAGGUGUGGCUGCUGUCACGCCUGCCACAAGAGUCGCAGGUGAACCUGGUCCUGCACGUGUCGUGCCAGUCAUUAGUGGGAUCGGUGGCUUGGGCGCUGCCGGCAUCGUGGGUGUUGUGAGUGGAGGGGCCUGGGCUGGGGGUGACAGUCCAUGCCUCCGGGCAAGGUGGGGGAGUGGCAGGCUCUCUGGUCUUCUCCCUUGACU
ensembl:lncRNA